UGUUUACAAAUGUCAAGCUUCAUAGUAUUGUAAUAAUUUUGGUUUUUUUCUCACCUCAGUUUGAAAUGCCUGAAUCUGCUGUGGUUGUAGAAAAACUGUGCAUGAAUGGAUCUCAUUUCUUGAAUGCAUCAGAUUAUGAGCUGAGCAGAUUCAAAACAAUGCACCAGCCGUGAGUGUCUCAUUAUUUUCCAUUUCCCCAGUGAAUGACAAAUGCACUUGUACUCUGACAGUUGCUGUUAAUAAAUCAGGA
rnacentral:lncRNA from 12 species